GGGCCUGUGGUUUAAUGGAAGAACGCCGCGUUCGCAUCGCGGAGAUGGCAGUUCAAUUCUGCCCAGGUCCA
rnacentral:tRNA from 1 species